GACGAACGCUGGCGGCGUGCUUAACACAUGCAAGUCGAACGAUGAUGCCAGCUUGCUGGUGGAUUAGUGGCGAACGGGUGAGUAACACGUGAGCAACCUGCCCCUGACUUCGGGAUAACCGCGGGAAACCGUGGCUAAUACCGGAUAUGACGCGCUAUCGCAUGGUGGUGUGUGGAAAGAUUUAUCGGUUGGGGAUGGGCUCGCGGCCUAUCAGCUUGUUGGUGGGGUGAUGGCCUACCAAGGCGACGACGGGUAGCCGGCCUGAGAGGGUGACCGGCCACACUGGGACUGAGACACGGCCCAGACGCCUACGGGAGGCAGCAGUGGGGAAUAUUGCACAAUGGGCGCAAGCCUGAUGCAGCGACGCCGCGUGAGGGAUGACGGCCUUCGGGUUGUAAACCUCUUUCAGUAGGGAAGAAGGCCUUCGGGUUGACGGUACCUGCAGAAGAAGCGCCGGCUAACUACGUG
rnacentral:rRNA from 1 species